AACACCGACAAACGGCCUGGGGGGAGAUCCACGCACACACUGGAGGAGAAAAAUAUUCCAUACAUCGGCUUUCUGUACUGCCACCUUCAAAAAGGAAGCACAACUCGGGAAUUCUGAGUAGCAUCUCCUCUGGAUGGCUGGACUGAGCUGAGGCUUCAGCAGAAACUUGAAGCUGAGACUCCUUAAACAAGAAAUUUCUUCUGGGGUCUGACUUUACAGGCCAUCCCUGCAUUUCCAGCACAGGAGGGCAACAGAGACAGAGCCACCUCCAUCACAUCCUGAGUUCAGUGAGGAUGAGCAACAGAGGGCAUGGGCAUCCUUCCAUCUGCUUCUCCUCUGGAGCAGAGAUAUAUCCAGAAUGGUGCAACUCUGCAAUCUUUCUCUCCUUCUGGGAUGGUUUCAAUGGUAAGAUUUACAGCCUAAAAGAUAUCACUGAAGUCAUGGCAGUAAGAGGGGCAGCUACAACAGGAAGGAGGAGGAACAGGAGUAUUUUACUGAGUCCAAGCCUUGCAGAUGGUGAAAACAAGAAGCAAAAGCCAUGCUCACAGUUAAAGCUAAUGAAAAUCUGCA